rnacentral:misc_RNA from 1 species
GUUGUACAUACAUCUUAAAACAGUAUGAAGUUGUACCAUACAUCUUAAAACAGUAUGAAGUUGUACCAUACAUCUUAAAACAGUAUGAAGUUGUACCAUACAUCUUAAAACAGUAUGAAGUUGUACCAUACAUCUUAAAACAGUAUGAAGUUGUACCAUACAUCUUAAAACAGUAUGAAGUUGUACCAUACAUCUUAAAACAAUAUGAAGUUGUACCAUACAUCUUAAAACAGUAUGAAGUUGUACCAUACAUCUUAAAACAGUAUGAAGUUGUACCAUACAUUGUAAAACAGUAUGAAGUUGUACCAUACAUCUUAAAACAAUAUGAAGUUGUACCAUACAUCUUAAAACAGUAUGAAGUUGUACCAUACAUCUUAAAACAAUAUGAAGUUGUACCAUACAUCUUAAAACAGUAUGAAGUUGUACCAUACAUCUUAAAACAGUAUGAAGUUGUACCAUACAUUGUAAAACAGUAUGAAGUUGUACCAUACAUCUUAAAACAAUAUGAAGUUGUACCAUACUUCAUAAAACUUUAUAAUCAAAGGUUAACCUAACCUAACCUAGUCAUUAAAGUAUUCUCCUCAAGAUACUUUUAACAAGACCACAUUAGAUGUACAUUUCAUAAAUUUGCAAUAAUUCUAAUAAUAUGAAUCAUUAGGUAUUUACUGACCUUUACAAAAUUAAGCCUUAAAAUCUCAAAAGAAUUUGUGGAAUCAAUUGUAUCCAUCCAUGUGACUAUCAAGCAUGAUGGAUGACAGAGGUGAUGCACCACUCCUGUGUGAUGGUGUGGGCAGUGAACACAACUGUGAGUGUUUAGACUCCAUAGACAUAACAAAUUCUGCCCAUUUUGAUGGCCAAACUAUUGGAGAAGAAGACAAUAAGAAAACUGAAUGUUGCAGAAGAGUGGCUCAAGGUCUACAGGGGAUCACCGUAGAGCCCAUACUCUUCUUUAAUGUUUUGGGCUUGAUGGUUCAGUCUUCCCUCGGCACCAAUUUAUUGCUUUUUAAGGUUUGUCGAGAACAACAUAAUGAGCCGGCGAUUUGUGCCAACUUAUCAUCUUACCCUGAUAAGCAAGCGUCAGUCCAACAAGUUGUCACCAUCAUCAACAUGUAUUCUUCACUGAUGACCAACAUCCCAGCUGUGUUCUUUGUGCUCUUCCUGGGCUCUUGGAGUGACAUACAUGGGCGGAAAAUACCUAUGAUAGUUCCUUUAGUUGGGAAUUGCCUUGCUACAAUGUUAUACUUAGUGAAUGCAUUAUGGAUAGAACUUCCUUCAAUGUAUAUCUUACUCACUGCUGUUCCUCAAGCCUUAACUGGUGGCUUCAUCACCCUCUUGAUGGCAGCCUACUCAUACAUGGCUGACAUAACCAAAUUUCGGGCAAGAACUAUGCGUAUUGCUUUCCUGGAUUUAGGAUUUGGCUUAGCAUCUCCCAUUGGACUUUUACUGAGUGAUUAUCUGUUUUAUCGUCUUGGAUAUGCUGGAGUUUAUGGAUUCAGUGGCUUAUUUUUCUUAUUUGGGAUAAUAUAUACUAUUAUACGCAUUGAAGAUACGCGUGGUCCCUUCUCAAAAUACCAACCAGAAACUUGUGAGUUGACUCACAGACCUGGGAACAGGUUCAGAGAUAUCUUUAACACCAAGAAUGUCAAGGAAACAUUUGCUGUUGUCAUGAAGUCACGACCAGACAGAGGACGGGCAAAAAUCCUUUUAUUAAUGACAGCCAUGUGCCUACUGUUGUUUAGUUUUGGUUCAAGUAAUUUCUCAUACCUGUAUGUGAAGUGGAAAUUUGGAUGGGAUUACAACCAGUAUGUUCAUCUAAACCUGGUGGAGACCCUUGUGAGCCUUGUUGCAAUGACUGUCAUCCUGCCAUUACUCAGCUAUCGACUACAAGUAGAAGACUCCUUGUUGGCACUGCUGGGCUGUGUUUCAAAAAUUUGCAGCCUCAUUAUACAAGGGAUUGCACUUUACCCAUGGUAUCUCUACUUAAGUAGUGUUGUUGCUUGUGUAGGAGGACUACCAUUAAUUAUCACUCGCUCCUUUAUCAGCAAGUCCGUUCCUCAAAGGGAGUUAGGAAAGGUUUUUUCUAUUUUGGCCUCGUGGGAAUCCAUCCUGCCCCUGCUGUCACACCCUUUGUAUACACUUGUGUAUAAUGCCACCGUAAGAAGUUUCCCUGGUACCAUGUACUUCAUGACUGCAAUUUUCCUUACUGUUGCUGCACUUAUAUACAUGCAACCCAUGUGAAUCGCGUUGAUCCGUUGAGAGAAAUUUGGGGUGGUGGUUUGACCAUGAUGAGAGAAAUGUUUGACAAUAAUUGACCCUCUAGGGUCGAGGGGUUUGCUGCACGAGGAUGAAGAGCCAGUAUACUGAGUAUAGUGGCUGCACUCUACGUGUUCAUGCAUUACGUCAUACAAAUCUUCAUUUGUAUCAGAUGGCUAUUCUUCAACAGAACAAGUACAUCAGCAACACCCCACAUUCAUGAAGACAAUAUUUCUGAAAUAGAAUCAUGAAUUUACCAAAAGAUAUGAUGAGACCAUAUCAUUCUUGGUCAGAUUUAUUUCCUGAGAAGCCUCCAACCUCAAUGUAAAGCUUGUUGAAUUUAUCAAAAACGUUCACUAGUACUCACAUAGACACACUAUUCCUGAUUAGAGACCGAGGGUAAGCAUAAACAAAGGACGCUCCUGGAAAUAAGCAUCUACCAACAUUGUCGGUUAUCCUUGGUCAAGUUGCCUUACUGUUUACUCUCUUUGUCACCACACAGUUGGUGUGAUGGCUAUUGUAGAUGUACAGGGUGUUAUAAAAGUCCCUGUGCACCUGCAACAAAAAAGUUAUUUAUACCUUGUUCUACUUAUAGUAAAUGUGUACAAUACUG